GUGAGUGUGUGUUUCUUGAGUGGAUUCAGAUGACCCAUGGUUGUACAAUCUGAGUUGUAUUGUCACCAGGAUGUAGGAUCAAGGACCUCUUAAGAACUCCAGAUCAUAUAUGUAUGUGCGUGAUUGGGGAGCGGUUGCAGAAGGCUCACAGUGAUACCAUCUUACUUUGACCGGAUGCAGUGCAUCAAGGAUUUAACUGAAUGUUCCAGUGAGCUUAAAUCCCAAGCGCCGACGAAAAUAAGAGCUUUUAUUUGUAUGUUAAAUUUUUUUCUUAUUAUUUAAGUCUUCAA